rnacentral:rRNA from 1 species
AGUGAACGCUGGCGGCGUGCCUAAUACAUGCAAGUCGAACGGAGAUUAAGUAGCUUGCUAUUUAAUCUUAGUGGCGCACGGGUGAGUAAUAUAUAGCUAACUUGCCCAUUACUAAGGGACAACAGUUGGAAACGACUGCUAAUACCUUAUACUCCGUAUCUAUAUAAGUAGAUACGGGAAAGUUUUUCGGUAAUGGAUAGGGCUAUAUCGUAUCAGCUCGUUGGUAAGGUAAUGGCUUACCAAGGCUAUGACGCGUAACUGGUCCGGGAGGAUGAUCAGUCACGCAGGAACUGAGACACGGUCCAGAUUCCUACGGGAGGCGGCAGGAGGGAAUAUUGAUCAAGGGGAGAAAGCCGGAAGCAGCAACGCCGCGUGGAGGAGGACACUUUGCGGAGCGUAAACUCCUUUUCUUGGGAAAGAAUUAUGACGGUACCCAAGGAAGAAGCACCGGCUAACUCCGUG